rnacentral:lncRNA from 1 species
AAGUGACGUGCCAAAGAGAGAAAAGAGGAGACAUGUAUGGUGUAUGAACAAAACAGGAUAUUGUCCUUCCUCCUCACCUCCCUCUGAAACUUUAGAGUUUGACCUCUUGAACAGCAAGAUCCACAUCUAAGACCCUGUCAGAAAUUUAUGUCGGGGAGGUGCCAGAUGAGACAUCUGGGAACUGCUGGAAGACAAACUAUGCAAGAAGUUUAGCCACAAUCCAUGAAAGCUAGAAAAAUUCUGCCUGAGGUCUGUCAAAACCCCAGAAAAUGAAGC